rnacentral:rRNA from 1 species
AAAACAUCUCUUUAUGAAUAAAAUAUUAAGUUGACUCUGCUCAGUGAUAAUUUAAAUAGCUGCAGUAUUUUAACUGUACAAAGGUAGCAUAAUAAAUUGUUUUUUAAAUGGAAACUAGAAUGAAUGAGGUGAUGAAAUAAAAACUUUAUUAAAUUUAAAUUUUGAAUUUUAUUUUAAAGUAAAAAAGCUUUAAUUUUUUUAAGGGACGAGAAGACCCUAUAGAAUUUAAUAAUUAUAUAAAUAAAAUUAUUUAUUUAUAUAAUUAUUUGUUUGGGAGGUAUAUUAAAUUUAAUAACUUUAAUUAAUAAUUUACAUAUAUAUAUGAGUUAUAUAGAUUUUAAAAAUUAAAUAUAAAAUUAAAUUACCUUAGGGAUAACAGCGUAAUAUUAUUUUAUAGUUCUUAUUGAAAAUAAUGUUU